rnacentral:rRNA from 1 species
CCUACGGGAGGCAGCAGUGAGGAAUAUUGGUCAAUGGUCGGGAGACUGAACCAGCCAAGCCGCGUGAGGGAUGAAGGUACAGAGUAUCGUAAACCUCUUUUGUCAGGGAACAACGGCGGGGACGCGUCCCCGGAUGAGUGUACCUGAAGACAAAGCAUCGGCUAACUCCGUGCCAGCAGCCGCGGUAAUACGGAGGAUGCGAGCGUUAUCCGGAUUUAGUGGGUUUAAUGGGUGCGCAGGCGGUCUGUUAAGUCAGCGGUCAAAGCCCGGGGCUCAACCCCGGCCCGUCGUUGAAACUGGCAGUCUCGAGUUGGAGAGAAGUAUGCGGAAGGCGCGGUGUAGCGGUGAAAUGCAGAGAUAGCGCGCAGAACUCCGAGUGCGAAGGCAGCAUGCCGGCUCCACACUGACGCUGAGGCACGAAAGCGUGGGUAUCGAACAGGAUUAGAUACCCCUGUAGUC